GGGGUCGCCUCGUGGCGCCCAGCGUCCGUCCCCCCAGGUCUUCUUCCUCUAGCACACACCCACGGAGGAACCCAGCCGCAACCUUCCCAUCCAAACUGGCGACCCAGGGACAGCACCCACGCACGGUGCGGAGAAGAGGUCACCGAAAGGCGGCCCGGGUGGAUCCUGCCGGAGACCGCGGCCGGCACUCGGAAAGUCGGGAGUAGGGUGUCUGAUCGGCCUUUGGGGGGAUCACAGGUCAGGUGAGACUGGGGUGCAGAAUGAGCCGAGAAGUCCGGUCCUUGCUGUUCCCAGCUCUCGGGAGCCCGCGGAACUCGGGAAACGCGGGCAGAGGGAGAAGAAAGAGGGCGAGCAGGGAGUCACUCACCGAGACAGAUGGAGCGCGGCGGCCCUUUGUCUGCUGCCGCGGCGCCGGCGCUCUCGGCCCGGUUGCUCCAGCCCAGGCGCGGGGUUAGGGGGAGUCACCUCAAGAUCCUGUCCAGGAGGAAAGGAUGACGGAAACUGGGAGGUCUCCCUGAGCCCCGGCCAAAGUCUUCUGGUCUUUUCUCCCGGUCAGCCCUCUCUACCGUAACUGCUGAAACUGAGGGCGGAGAAAAAGAGCCGGUUGGAACUGGACUGCUCCAGGAAUGGGAGACCGGAGUAGGCAGGAGCCAUCCCCUGGCCAAGGGUCGAGGGGACGCUGUGGGAGCUCAGGUCACUAGCUGGCCUUGGAUGUGCUGCCAGUUGCCUGGUUCGUGGGGUCCAAGUAAAACUCACAGAUGGGUGCCAAGACUUUGGUAGCCAGAGAAAAACCUGAGAAGCCUCCAGACCCCAAACUUUGGUGGUGACUGGUGUUUGAGCUGUGUUCCAGCAAGUAGAUGCGUCACUGAAUGCCUGCAUCCUUUUAAAAUGAGAAGCUGCUUUCCUAAGCAGGGAAAAAAAUGUGAUGAACUAAAUAUUGUAUAAUGAGGUCACCAGUGGCUUUAGCUGCCCAUGAGCCCUCCCUCCUCUCAACCAAAGCACUCAGGAUGGGGGCUGCACUUGUACAUUUCUCAGUCUGCUAUAUCGUGUGUUUAUUUUUGCCUCAUCCUGGGCCGGAGAGUGUACAAUUUCAGGUACUUAAGAGGUACCCAGUAACUGUUGAAAUUAUCUUUGGGUAACACCGGUAAAAACAUAAAACUUAGAACGUGUGGGAUUGCAUUGGGAGCUGUAACAAGUGUUUAGCUCAGCGGUAGUCGUAGAAAGGGUACAGAUGGUAGCUGUAAUUACUGUGCAGAUAUAAUUGACAUUAAUCGUAUGUAUGUAGGUAGCCAAUAGGUUUGGGACUAGCCCUAGCUAGGUUAGAGAUAGCAGUUAUCUGAACUUGCAUUAACUUAAAAGAGAAGGUAAGGAUAAAGAUGGUGUCCUCUGUAGUCCGACAUUUCGAUGAGCCUUCCCUAGAGCACAUUUUAACAUUCUGCUUACUUAAUUUUCAUUAUAAAUAAG
rnacentral:lncRNA from 1 species